UACGUAGGGUGCAAGCGUUGUCCGGAAUUAUUGGGCGUAAAGAGCUCGUAGGCGGUUUGUCGCGUCUGCUGUGAAAUCCCAGGGCUUAACCCUGGGCCUGCAGUGGGUACGGGCAGACUAGAGUGCGGUAGGGGAGAUCGGAAUUCCUGGUGUAGCGGUGAAAUGCGCAGAUAUCAGGAGGAACACCGGUGGCGAAGGCGGAUCUCUGGGCCGUAACUGACGCUGAGGAGCGAAAGCAUGGGUAGCGAACAGG
rnacentral:rRNA from 1 species